rnacentral:tRNA from 1 species
ACUUAGUUUAUUCAAAAUAAUUAUUUGUCAAGUAAUAGUAGCCUCGGCAGUCUGA